rnacentral:misc_RNA from 1 species
ACUGGCACUGGAUUGUGAAAUGGUAUGAUAUCAGUUAUGAUUGAAGAUUAGAAAAUGUUUUGAAGCAUUGGAAAUGGCACUGAGAUAUGAAUUAAGAAUAUAUUUGUAUGAAUGUUGUAGCUGGGAAUAAUAUAAGCAUAAAAAAUAUCAUCAUUUUACUAUUGUUUGAGUGUAAACCUUUCUUUAAGGUCAUCAAAUGAAACUAUUGGGUCUGUUUGGCAUUGCUGAUUGAGCUACUGUUGAGAAAAUUAUUUUUUUAAA